UAGGGAAUCUUCCGCAAUGGACGCAAGUCUGACGGAGCAACGCCGCGUGAGUGAAGAAGGAUUUCGGUUCGUAAAACUCUGUUGUUAGAGAAGAACAGCGCAUAGAGUAACUGUUAUGCGUGUGACGGUAUCUAACCAGAAAGCCACGGCUAACUACGUGCCAGCAGCCGCGGUAAUACGUAGGUGGCAAGCGUUGUCCGGAUUUAUUGGGCGUAAAGCGAGCGCAGGCGGUCAAUUAAGUCUGAUGUGAAAGCCCCCGGCUCAACCGGGGAGGGUCAUUGGAAACUGGUUGACUGGAGUGCAGAAGAGGAGAGUGGAAUUCCAUGUGUGGCGGUGAAAUGCGUAGAUAUGUGGAGGAACACCAGUGGCGAAGGCGACUCUCUGGGCGGUAGCUGACGAGGAGGCUCGAAAGCGUGGGUAGCAAACAGG
rnacentral:rRNA from 1 species